rnacentral:rRNA from 1 species
UACGGGGGGGGCAAGCGUUGUUCGGAAUUACUGGGCGUAAAGGGUGCGUAGGUGGUUUGUUAAGUCUGCUGUGAAAUCCCCGGGCUCAACCUGGGAAUGGCAGUGGAUACUGGCAAGCUAGAGUGCGGUAGAGGGUAGUGGAAUUCCCGGUGUAGCAGUGAAAUGCGUAGAGAUCGGGAGGAACACCAGUGGCGAAGGCGACUUCCUGGCCUGUUCUUGACGCUGAGGCGCGAAAGCUAGGGUAGCAAACGGG